CCCUUAGAUGUUCUGGGCUGCACGCGCGCUACACUGAUGAACGCAACGAGACGACCUGUACCGAAAGGCAUGGGUAAACUUGUGAAAGUUCAUCGUGAUGGGGAUAGAUUAUUGCAAUUAUUAAUCUUCAACGAGGAAUUCCUAGUAGACGUAGUUCAUCAGACUGCAUCGAUUACGUCCCUGCCCUUUGUACACACCGCCCGUCGCUCCUACCGAUUGAAUGCUCAGGUGAGCCAUUCGGACUUUCAUCAUGCUGGUUUCCAGUUUUGAUGAAGGAAAGUCUUGCGAACCUUAUCAUUUAGAGGAAGGAGAAGUCGUAACA
rnacentral:rRNA from 1 species